rnacentral:rRNA from 1 species
AGGUUAACCGAAUAGGGGAGCCGAAGGGAAACCGAGUCUUAACUGGGCGUUAAGUUGCAGGGUAUAGACCCGAAACCCGGUGAUCUAGCCAUGGGCAGGUUGAAGGUUGGGUAACACUAACUGGAGGACCGAACCGACUAAUGUUGAAAAAUUAGCGGAUGACUUGUGGCUGGGGGUGAAAGGCCAAUCAAACCGGGAGAUAGCUGGUUCUCCCCGAAAGCUAUUUAGGUAGCGCCUCGUGAAUUCAUCUCCGGGGGUAGAGCACUGUUUCGGCAAGGGGGUCAUCCCGACUUACCAACCCGAUGCAAACUGCGAAUACCGGAGAAUGUUAUCACGGGAGACACACGGCGGGUGCUAACGUCCGUCGUGAAGAGGGAAACAACCCAGACCGCCAGCUAAGGUCCCAAAGUCAUGGUUAAGUGGGAAACGAUGUGGGAAGGCCCAGACAGCCAGGAUGUUGGCUUAGAAGCAGCCAUCAUUUAAAGAAAGCGUAAUAGCUCACUGGUCGAGUCGGCCUGCGCGGAAGAUGUAACGGGGCUAAACCAUGCACCGAAGCUGCGGCAGCGACACUAUGUGUUGUUGGGUAGGGGAGCGUUCUGUAAGCCUGUGAAGGUGGCCUGUGAGGGUUGCUGGAGGUAUCAGAAGUGCGAAUGCUGACAUAAGUAACGAUAAAGCGGGUGAAAAGCCCGCUCGCCGGAAGACCAAGGGUUCCUGUCCAACGUUAAUCGGGGCAGGGUGAGUCGACCCCUAAGGCGAGGCCGAAAGGCGUAGUCGAUGGGAAACAGGUUAAUAUUCCUGUACUUGGUGUUACUGCGAAGGGGGGACGGAGAAGGCUAUGUUGGCCGGGCGACGGUUGUCCCGGUUUAAGCGUGUAGGCUGGUUUUCCAGGCAAAUCCGGAAAACCAAGGCUGAGGCGUGAUGACGAGGCACUACGGUGCUGAAGCGACAAAUGCCCUGCUUCCAGGAAAAGCCUCUAAGCAUCAGGUAACAUCAAAUCGUACCCCAAACCGACACAGGUGGUCAGGUAGAGAAUACCAAGGCGCUUGAGAGAACUCGGGUGAAGGAACUAGGCAAAAUGGUGCCGUAACUUCGGGAGAAGGCACGCUGAUAUGUAGGUGAAGCGACUUGCUCGUGGAGCUGAAAUCAGUCGAAGAUACCAGCUGGCUGCAACUGUUUAUUAAAAACACAGCACUGUGCAAACACGAAAGUGGACGUAUACGGUGUGACGCCUGCCCGGUGCCGGAAGGUUAAUUGAUGGGGUUAGCGGUAACGCGAAGCUCUUGAUCGAAGCCCCGGUAAACGGCGGCCGUAACUAUAACGGUCCUAAGGUAGCGAAAUUCCUUGUCGGGUAAGUUCCGACCUGCACGAAUGGCGUAAUGAUGGCCAGGCUGUCUCCACCCGAGACUCAGUGAAAUUGAACUCGCUGUGAAGAUGCAGUGUACCCGCGGCAAGACGGAAAGACCCCGUGAACCUUUACUAUAGCUUGACACUGAACAUUGAGCCUUGAUGUGUAGGAUAGGUGGGAGGCUUUGAAGUGUGGACGCCAGUCUGCAUGGAGCCGACCUUGAAAUACCACCCUUUAAUGUUUGAUGUUCUAACGUUGGCCCGUAAUCCGGGUUGCGGACAGUGUCUGGUGGGUAGUUUGACUGGGGCGGUCUCCUCCUAAAGAGUAACGGAGGAGCACGAAGGUUGGCUAAUCCUGGUCGGACAUCAGGAGGUUAGUGCAAUGGCAUAAGCCAGCUUGACUGCGAGCGUGACGGCGCGAGCAGGUGCGAAAGCAGGUCAUAGUGAUCCGGUGGUUCUGAAUGGAAGGGCCAUCGCUCAACGGAUAAAAGGUACUCCGGGGAUAACAGGCUGAUACCGCCCAAGAGUUCAUAUCGACGGCGGUGUUUGGCACCUCGAUGUCGGCUCAUCACAUCCUGGGGCUGAAGUAGGUCCCAAGGGUAUGGCUGUUCGCCAUUUAAAGUGGUACGCGAGCUGGGUUUAGAACGUCGUGAGACAGUUCGGUCCCUAUCUGCCGUGGGCGCUGGAGAACUGAGGGGGGCUGCUCCUAGUACGAGAGGACCGGAGUGGA